GUAGAUGUUGUCGAGGUCAACACACCAGGGGACGCUGGUGCGCUGGAUCGCCUUCGGGCGUGACAGAUACGGCGGUUCGAUUCCGUCGGUCUCCACCA
rnacentral:tRNA from 1 species